GACGGAGGUGGCGAGCGUUGCUCGGAAUCAUUGGGUGUAAAGGGUUGGUAGGCGGCUCCGCAAGUCCCGUUUGAAAUCCUGGAGCUUAACUCCAGAACUGGGCGGGAGACUACGGGGCUCGAGGAUCGGAGGGGGAGACGGAAUUCCCGGUGUAAGGGUGAAAUCUGUAGAGAUCGGGAGGAACACCCGUGGCGAAGGCGGUCUCCUGGCCGGUAUCUGACGCUGAGCAACGAAAGCGUGGGGAGCAAACAGGAUUAGAAACCCUUGUAGU
rnacentral:rRNA from 1 species